rnacentral:rRNA from 1 species
AGGAGUUUGAUCCUUGGCUCAGAAUCAACGCUGGCGGCGCGCUUAACACAUGCAAGUCGAACGAGAAAGCCCGCAAGGGUGAGUACAGUGGCGUACGGGUGAGUAACACGUGGAUGAUCUACCUUUUAGUGGGGAAUACCGAUGGGAAACCGUCGACAAUACCGCAUAAUCUCGAGAGAGGAAAGCAGCAAUGCGCUGAAAGAGGAGUCCGCGGCUGAUUAGCUAGUUGGUGAGGUAAUGGCUCACCAAGGCAUAGAUCAGUAGCCGGCCUGAGAGGGCACACGGCCACACUGGCACUGAAACACGGGCCAGACUCCUACGGGAGGCAGCAGUGGGGAAUCUUGCACAAUGGGGGCAACCCUGAUGCAGCGACGCCGCGUGAGCGAUGAAGCCCUUCGGGGUGUAAAGCUCUUUCGGUAGGGAAGAUAAUGACGGUACCUACAGAAGCAGCUGCGGCUAACUACGUGCCAGCAGCCGCGGUAAUACGUAGGCAGCAAGCGUUGUUCGGAGUUACCGGGCGUAAAGGGUGUGUAGGCGGUUGGAUAAGAGUGGUGUGAAAUCUCCCGGCUUAACUGGGAGGGUGCGCUACAGACUGUCUGACUAGAGUGUGGGAUGGGUAAGUGGAAUUCCUGGUGUACGGGAAAUGCGUAGAUAUAA